rnacentral:rRNA from 1 species
GACAGAGGAGGCAAGCGUUAUCCGGAAUUAUUGGGCGUAAAGCGUCCGUAGGUGGUUUGACAAGUCUGGGGUUAAAGCCCGGAGCCCAACUCCGGAUCGGCCCUGGAUACUGUCAGACUUGAGUCAGGUAGGGGUUGCGGGAAUUCCCGGUGUAGCGGUGAAAUGCGUAGAUAUCGGGAAGAACGCCAGCGGCGAAAGCGCGCAACUGGGCCAUUACUGACACUGAGGGACGAAAGCUAGGGGAGCGAAUGGG